rnacentral:rRNA from 1 species
GAGCCGGCAUCAGGCACGCAUACGCAGCCCAAGACGCCUUGUUCAGCCACACCCCCAAGGGAACUCAGCAGUGAUAAACAUUAGGCAAUUAGUGAAAACUAGACCUAGCUAAAGUUACAAGGACUGGUAAAUCUCGUGCCAGCCACCGCGGUUAUACGAGAGGUCCAAAUUGACAGCCAUCGGCGUAAAGAGUGGUUAUAGACCCCUACACAACUAAAGCCAAAACUCCUCCCAGCUGUCAUACGCACCCGAAGACAAGAGGCCCAACCACGAAAGUAGCUUUAAUCACAAACCCCUAGAACCCACGACAGCCAGGACACAAACUGGGAUUAGAUACCCCACUAUGCCUGGCCUUAAACCCUGAUAGCAAGAUACAAAUACUAUCCGCCCGGGAACUACAAGCGCUAGCUUUAAACCCAAAGGACUUGGCGGUGCCCCAAACCCACCUAGAGGAGCCUGUUCUAUAACCGAUAACCCCCGUUAAACCUCACCGCUUCUAGCCAACCCCGCCUAUAUACCGCCGUCGCCAGCUUACCCUAUGAAGGUCCAACAGUAAGCCCAAAGAGCAUAACUCAAAACGUCAGGUCGAGGUGUAGCGCACGAAGCGGGAAGAAAUGGGCUACAUUUUCUAACCCUAGAACAUUGCGAACGACACAGUGAAACCUGAGUCCAAAG